rnacentral:lncRNA from 1 species
UCUGAGACCUCUCCCUUCAAUCCAUCUGGCUUGGACCUGAAGAGGUGCCUUUGCUCCGUUGACGAGGAUCUGUGGAUGAAGAGGAAGGCUGGAAUUCAGCUGGCAGCCCUCAGCUACUGGGAGUCCAGUGAUGAGCGGCCCUGGUGGGAACCAGGUGGCAGAAAUUCUGGAACCACCACGUCUCCUUUGAUAAACAAAAGACAGAUAGGUCUCCAAAAGGUCUUGAGGAACCUCCUGUUCCCAAGGCAGGGAAUGAUGUCCAAGCGGAAGCACACUGAAGUGCCUGGAGGCUCCCCGGGCGUGUUCACAAGGGAAUAUUGACAUUUGGGACCAAGGGAUGGAAAACUAGGCUGUGAGCUGCUGGAGCUGUUAUCAAGGAUAUUUAUUCCAGCAACUUUCCCUUGCAGGUCUUCUUAAGGUUGUGCCUCUUUUUCCCCAUUCCCCUCUGAGUGUCCCACACCACAUUUUCCAUUAAUUACUAAAAUAAAUCUAACAAAAUGCUCUCCUUCCUGGGCUUU